AGGUUGGCUCAGAAGCAGCCAUCCUUUAAAGAGUGCGUAACAGCUCACUAGUCGAGUGACCCUGCGCCGAAAAUGUACCGGGGCUAAGCCUGAUACCGAAACUGCGGAUUGUAGGAAACUAUAGUGGUAGGGGAGCGUUGUAUACGAGCAGAAGCCGUACCGUGAGGAGCGGUGGAUUGUAUAGAAGUGAGAAUGCCGGUGUGAGUAGCGAGAUGUAGGUGAGAAUCCUACACACCGAAAGCCCAAGGAUUCCAGGGGAAGGUUCGUCCGCCCUGGGUAAGUCGGGACCUAACGCGAGGCCGAAAGGCGUAGUGGAUGGAAAGCAGGCGAAAGAUUCCUGCACCCGUAUAUGGAGCGAAGGAGUGACGGAGACGGAUAGUGUGACCCUCUUAAUGGAUUGAGGGCGAAGCGAAGCGGCUGGUUACCAGGCAAAUCCGGUAACCAAAAGGCUAGAGCGUGACAGGUAAGCGAAAUCUUAGGAAAGUAGCGAAGCACAUGAUGACGGCUUCCAGGAAAAGCUUCUGGCAAUGCAUAUGCGGCCCGUACCAAAACCGACACAGGUGGGCAGGGAGAGAAUCCCGAGGUGAGCGAGAGAACUGUUGCCAAGGAACUCGGCAAAAUGACUCCGUAAGUUAGCGAGAAGGAGUGCUUAAGCAAUUAAGCCGCAGUGAAGAGGCCCAAGCGACUGUUUAACUAAAACACAGCUCUCUGCGAAGUCGCAAGACGAAGUAUAGGGGGUGACACCUGCCCGGUGCUGGAAGGUUAAGAGGAUCUGUUAAGAGCGAUCUGAAGCAGUGAUCCGAAGCCCCAGUGAACGGCGGCCGUAACUAUAACGGUCCUAAGGUAGCGAAAUUCCUUGUCAGGUAAGUUCUGACCCGCAUGAAAGGCGUAAUGAUUUGGGCACUGUCUCAACAGCCCGCCCGGCGAAAUUGUAGUACCGGUGAAGAUGCCGGUUACCCGCGACAAGACGGAAAGACCCCAUGGAGCUUUACUGUAGCCUAAUAUUGGGUUUCGAUGUUGCAUGCACAGGAUAGAUGGGACACUGGGAAACAAUCGCUUUGGCGGUUGCGGAGUGGCCGUUGGGAUACCAUCCUUGCGAUAUUGGAAUUCUAACCUGCGGCUCUGAAUCGAGUCGGGGGACAUUGUUAGGUGGGCAGUUUGACUGGGGCGGUCGCCUCCUAAAAAGUAACGGAGGCGUUCAAAGGUUCGCUCAGCUUGAACGGAAAUCAAGCAAAAGAGUGCAAACGCAGAAGCGAGCCUAACUGCGAGACUGACGGGUCGAGCAGUAACGAAAGUUGGAGUUAGUGAUCCGGUGGUAUGUGAGUGGAAAUGCCAUCGCUCAACGGAUAAAAGUUACCCUGGGGAUAACAGGCUGAUCUCCCCCAAGAGUCCACAUCGACGGGGAGGUUUGGCACCUCGAUGUCGGCUCAUCGCAUCCUGGGGCUGAAGUAGGUCCCAAG
rnacentral:rRNA from 1 species